CUGGGGGUGAAGAAGCUCCCAAGGGUUUGGCUGUUCGCCAAUGAAAGUGGUACGUGAGCUGGGUUCAGACCGUCGUGAGACAGGUCGGUCCCUAUCUGCCGUGGGCGUACGAAACUUGAGGAGGUUCUUCUUUAGUACGAGAGGAUUUGGAAGGACGUAGCUCUGGUGUACCAGUUGUCGCGCUAGCGGCACGGCUGGAUAGCUAACUACGGAAAGGAUAAACGCUGAAAGCAUCUAAGCGUGAAGCCCUCUCCAAGAUUAGGUUUCGCAUGAGUCCCCUUGAAGACGACAAGGUUGAUAGGUCAGAUGUGUAAGCUCAGUAAUGGGUUCAGCUAACUGAUACUAACGGACAAACGGCUUGACCAC
rnacentral:rRNA from 1 species